rnacentral:rRNA from 1 species
AAUAGAUACCCGGGUAGUCCACCCCGUAAACGUUGGGAACUAGUUGUGGGCUCCUUUCCACGGAUUCCGUGACGCAGCUAACGCAUUAAGUUCCCCGCCUGGGGAGUACGGCCGCAAGGCUAAAACUCAAAGGAAUUGACGGGGACCCGCACAAGCGGCGGAGCAUGCGGAUUAAUUCGAUGCAACGCGAAGAACCUUACCAAGGCUUGACAUACACCGGAAACGGCCAGAGAUGGUCGCCCCGCAAGGUCGGUGUACAGGUGGUGCAUGGUUGUCGUCAGCUCGUGUCGUGAGAUGUUGGGUUAAGUCCCGCAACGAGCGCAACCCUCGUUCUAUGUUGCCAGCACGUAAUGGUGGGAACUCAUGGGAUACUGCCGGGGUCAACUCGGAGGAAGGUGGGGAUGACGUCAAAUCAUCAUGCCCCUUAUGUCUUGGGCUUCACGCAUGCUACAAUGGCCGGUACAAAGGGCUGCAAUACCGUGAGGUGGAGCGAAUCCCAAAAAGCCGGUCCCAGUUCGGAUUGAGGUCUGCAACUCGACCUCA